AUGGAUAAAAACAAUAUUUCCACUUAUAACAUAUAUGAUCAUAUGAAUUAUUUUUUGUAUUUGAUGAGUGGACACACAUGGACAGACUAUUAUGUUCAUAAAAAUAAUUUUGAUAUUUACAAACGGAUGCGAAGAGGUGAAGUUAUACAUGUUGAAUCAGAUGCUGACACAGUUUUUAAUGAUGGAGUAGCUAAACAGGUUGAACUAUCCAUUGAUGAUAUAGUUCCUAAUAAAAAUGUAACUAACAAUGUGUCAAAAGAAAAGACAUUAUUAAGUAAAAAAAAAAAAAGUUUGUUUGGCAAAGCACAAACUAUUUUACAGAAUAAAAGCAAAAAAAACGUUGGCAAGGACCAAAAAAACGUUAGUAAGGAUCAAAAAAACGUUAGUAAGGAUCAAAAAAACGUUAGUAAGGAUCAAAAAAACGUUAGUAAGGAUCAAAAAAACGUUGAUAUGGAUCAAAAAAACGUUGACAUGGGUCAAAAAAACAAAUUAAAAAAAUUAACAAAAUUAACAAAAUUAAAAAAAAUAAAAAAAUUAACAACUUUAACAAAACUAACAAAAUUAACAAAAUUAACAAAAUUAAAAAAAUUAACAAAAAUUAACAAAUUAAAAAAAUUAAAAAAAUUAACAAAAAUUAAAAAAAAAAAAAAAAAAAUAAAUGAUAAAGAACAGUCGUUAAAAUUAGAACAGUAUUAUGAAAAUUUUUUAACAUGCUAUAAAAUGAAUACAAAAAAAAAAUUAAAAAAUUUUGUAGAAUAUAAAAAAGCUAAUUUGAAAACUAAUUUGAAAACGAGUUUGAAAACUAAUUUGAAAACGAGUUUGAAAACNNNNNNNNNNAAUUUGAAAACGAGUUUGAAAACUAAUUUGAAAACGAGUUUGAAAACGAGUUUGAAAACAAGUUUGAAAACAAGUUUGAAAACAAGUUUGAAAACAAAUUAUGAAACAAAGGGAAAUUCCGAUAAAACAAAUAAGUAUAAUAAAGAUGAUGAUUCAUUUGGUAUUUAUUAUAAAAUAACAAAUGAACAAAACAAAAAAAAAUUAAAAAAUACAGAUUUUGUUAAAUUAAUUAAUUGCCCAAUUUAUCCUUUUUUUUGUAUAUCUAAUUUGUCUGAUGAAUUGUCUCUUAACCAACAUAUAUUUGUUGAUAUGAGAACUAUUGAAAAUUUUAAUCAAAAAAGAUUAAAAAAUUCAGUACACAUUAAUAAUUUUUUAACAAAUUUAAAAAGAGGGAUUUACAAUAGCUAUAUAAUAAAUGACAACGAUGAAGUUGACGAUAUUGAUAAUUAUAUUUUACAUAGUAAUAAAGAAUAUGAAACUUAUUUAAAAAGUAUAAUCCUAAUAUUCAAUGACUGUAUACUUGACUAUGAUGCUAUAUAUAACUUUUUAAAUUUAAAAAUUAAGUAUAUAAGCAUUUUAAGAGGUGGAAUUGAAUAUGCCUUCAAAAAAUUACCACCCAGUUAUUUUCUUUGA
rnacentral:lncRNA from 1 species